CUCACCAGUUAAGACAGCUGAAUGAUAGUCGGGCUGAAGACUCUACUUGACUAGCUGAGAGGAGGUGCAUGGCCGUCGUCAGUUCGUACUGUGAAGCAUCCUGUUAAGUCAGGCAACGAGCGAGACCCACGCCAACAGUUGCCAGCUCGUCCUCCGGGAUGGAGGGGACACUGUUGGGACCGCCUCUGCUAAAGAGGAGGAAGGAAUGGGCAACGGUAGGUCAGCAUGCCCCGAAUUAAUUGGGCUACACGCGGGCUACAAUGGGUGGGACAAUGGGUAUCGACACCGAAAGGUGAAGGCAAUCUCCUAAACCCAUCCGUAGUUCGGAUUGUGGGCUGCAACUCGCCCACAUGAAGCUGGAAUCUGUAGUAAUCGUGUCUCAAAAUGGCACGGUGAAUAUGUCCCUGCUCCUU
rnacentral:rRNA from 1 species